rnacentral:rRNA from 1 species
UACGUAGGGUGCAAGCGUUAAUCGGAAUUACUGGGCGUAAAGCGUGCGCAGGCGGUUAUGCAAGACAGAUGUGAAAUCCCCGGGCUUAACCUGGGAACCGCAUUUGUGACUGCAUAGCUGGAGUACGGCAGAGGGGGAUGGAAUUCCGCGUGUAGCAGUGAAAUGCGUAGAUAUGCGGAGGAACACCGAUGGCGAAGGCAGUCCCCUGGGCCUGUACUGACGCUCAUGCACGAAAGCGUGGGGAGCGAAACAAGGAUUG